GACAGAGGUCCCAAGCGUUAGGCGGAAUCACUGGGCUUAAAGCGUGUGUAGGCGGACUCUAAGUACUUGUGAAAUCCCACGGCUCACCGUGGAACUGCUGGGAUACUGGUGUCUUGGGCCAAUACGGUGGAGCGGAACAAGCGGUGGAGCGGUGAAAUGCGUAGAUAUCGCUUGGAACGCCGAAGGUGAAAACAGGCUGCUGGGGUUGUGCCGACGCUGAGACACGAAAGCCAGGGGAGCAAACGGGG
rnacentral:rRNA from 1 species